CUUGAGUGCAAGGACGUUCAUCUAAUUUUAGUAUUGGAUUAUUACGUACUUAUAACUUAUUUAACGAGAUUUAAUAACCGUUAAAUGUUUUUAGCAAGUUUUUUGAUACAGGUUUUAAAUUGCUAUAAGUUGAAAUUUUGCAAAAAAAACUUCAAUACGACAGCUAUAAAAAAAGCAGUCCAUGUACCAAAUACCAUGUCAAUGCAUACAUUGGCACAAAACGACCCUUGGAAGUUAGAAAAAAGGAGCACCAAAAGUGGACCCGAAAAUAAGGAGUUUCCAAUCAGGAUUUGCAGAACAUGCUUGGUCCAACGGCCACAACAUACAUUGCGCAGAAGCAAAAAUGUUAUGAAUUUACAGCCAUCCCAGUGUCGAAAUUCUCAACCACUGGAGACGUCUACUGUCAGGACUCGUGCACGAUCUAAUGCAUUUUACUCAUGACGGAAAGUUCCACAUGACUACGCAGUGAUUGAUGUUGUUUACACUUGACUGUUGGAGAUAUACACCAACUGAAACGUCGUGUUAAAUUGAAAAAUAAAGGCAUUGCAAUUUCGAA